AAACCAAUUAUAGUGAAAUACAGCUAUUGAGAUAUUAAAAAUAUCCUAAUGUGUUCAUUUGCAAGAUGAUAAUAUACGCACCUCUUUAUUAACAUAUGAAAUGACAAGAGCUAGCAGUAGCUUUAAUAGCUACUGUGAUUCCCAGUCGUCAGUAGUAUUUGGAGAGAUCACGAAGUGAAACUUGGAGACAUUCGCAAUAACGAUGAAGCGAUACUGAAGAUGCCUGAGAUUUCUGUUGGUGACAAAGUCACAGGCACUUCUCGCACGGUUACGGGUUGUUGUCUGCGUCCAUACUAGAAGGAAAGGGCAAACUGCAGUUAGAAAUUAGUAAAAAUGAGAAUGUAUAUUUUCUAUCAUCCAAAUACACAGGUCUCCUCUAAAUUCAAGAACUCUGUGUGGGCUCCAGGUCAAGGACCGCGGUUCCGGACACUCUAGAUGUGGACCAGCACAAUUAGCAUCACCUGGAAGCUGGUCGAAAGAGAAUGUCACCCCCACCCCAGACCCACGCAUCGCAGUCUGUUCUUCAACAAGAUCUCCGGGUAAUCUGUGUGCACGUCAUGAUUUGAGAGGCAAGGCAAAACAAAAACUUGAAAGCCUGCUUGGGUCAGACAGACCAGCUAAGAGCCGAGUAGUUGAUCAGUAUCAAAAAGAGACUGGAGUCCAGAAGGUGCCCAUCACAUCCCGUGUAGGAGAGUUAAGGAUACUCAGGUAAGUUGUUUCCCCGGCCCUUAGUUCCUCUGGCUAACUUUGAGACCAUUUGCGUCACAUGCUCCCAGCACGCCAAGAAAAAGCUACCAUCCACAAAAUAAAUAAGUAAAUUCUAAAUAUUUUGGAGGAGUC
ensembl:lncRNA